UGUCAUUAAAGUCUAUUUACGUGUCAUACGUAUAAUUUUAUAAAAUUUUGUGUAACAUUUCAUUCAUUUCAUUUCAUCUCACAACAUAAUGGCAUGAAAAGCAAAAUUUACAGUGAAUAAGAAAACUUAAAAGGAGAAACGAAAUAUGGUUUUAACUGCAUUUGAAUCCAUCCUAAUAACAUGUGUUAUAGUUGGAAGCGUUCACUUACUAGUAACAAUGCUAUCAACAUUUGAAAAACCAGAAGAAGGCAGCAACUGCUGCAAAGAUGUCAUGUCUUACAUAGCAAAACAUAAGUUUUUACACGAAAAUAGAAUAAGAAGUCAAGAAGCCAAAGUACCUUUCUAUCAUUAAAUAUGUACUCUCGUUUCACAUAAAACAGCUUUUGAUAUAGGAA